UACGAAGGGGGCUAGCGUUGCUCGGAAUUACUGGGCGUAAAGCGCACGUAGGCGGUCUUUUAAGUCGGGUGUGAAAUCCUGGAGCUCAACUCCAGAACUGCCUUCGAUACUGGAAGACUCGAGUCCGGGAGAGGUGAGUGGAACUGCGAGUGUAGAGGUGAAAUUCGUAGAUAUUCGCAAGAACACCAGUGGCGAAGGCGGCUCACUGGCCCGGUACUGACGCUGAGGUGCGAAAGCGUGGGGAGCAAACAGG
rnacentral:rRNA from 1 species